rnacentral:rRNA from 1 species
AUUCGCCUAGAGAAAGCUAGCGGUGAUUAGCUCGUGGUAAGGUAAUGAGUUACCAAGGCGACGAUAGUAUUGAUUUGAGUGGUGAUAGACACCUCGAACUGAGACACGGUCCAGAUCCUACGGAGGAGCAGUGGGGAAUCCUCGCAUGGCGAAGCCUGACGGAGCAUACCGCGUGAGGAUUGACUGCCUACGGGUCGUAACCUCUCCCCUAGGGAGGAAUAUUGACGUUACUGAAGAAUAAGCAUCGGCUAAUCCGUGCCAGCAGCCGCGGUAAGACGGAGGAUGCAAGUGUUAUCCGGAAUACUGGGCGUAAAGCGUUUGUAGGUGGUUUAUUAAGUCAAUGUUAAAUCUUGGAGCUUAACUUUCAAAAUCGCAGUCGAAAACUAAUAUACUUUGAGUAUAGUAUAGGUAAAGGGGAAUUUUCCAGUGGAGCGGUGAAAUGUGUAGAGAUUGGGAAAAGAAACACCAAUAGCGAAAGCACUUUUACUGGGCUAUUUACUUGACACUUCAAGACGAAAAGCUAGGGUAGCAAAUGGGGAUUAAGAUACCCCAGUAGUCCUAGCUUGUAAAC